AACGAACGUUGGCGGCGUGGAUUAGGCAUGCAAGUCGAGGGAAUCCCAGCAAUGGGGGAACCGGCGUAAGGGGCAGUAAUGUAUGGGUACCUACCCUGGAGUUCGGAAUAGCCAUCAGAGAUGGUGGGUAAUACCGGAUGAUGUCGUGAGACCAAAGAUUUAUCGCUUUGGGAGGGGCCCAUAUGAUAUUAGCUAGUUGGUGAGGUAACGGCUCACCAAGGCUAAGAUGUCUAGCGGGUGUGAGAGCACGACCCGCGCCACUCGCACUGAGACACUGGCGAGACACCUACGGGUGGCUGCAGUCGAGGAUCUUCGGCAAUGAGCGCAAGCUUGACCGAGCGACGCCGCGUGAGCGAUGAAGGCCUCCGGGUUGUAAAGCUCUUUAGGGGGGGAGAAAAGCCGAAAGGUGUGAUCUAUCCCCAAAAUAAGCACGGGCUAAGUUCGUGCCAGCAGCCGCAGUAAGAC
rnacentral:rRNA from 1 species